rnacentral:rRNA from 1 species
AUGAACGCUGGCGGCGUGCUUAACACAUGCAAGUCGCACGGUGAAGGCGGAGCUUGCUCUGCUGGAUCAGUGGCGAACGGGUGAGUAACACGUGAGCAAUCUGCCCCUGACUCUGGGAUAAGCGCUGGAAACGGCGUCUAAUACUGGAUACGAGCUGCGAAGGCAUCUUCAGCAGCUGGAAAGAACUUCGGUCAGGGAUGAGCUCGCGGCCUAUCAGCUUGUUGGUGAGGUAACGGCUCACCAAGGCGUCGACGGGUAGCCGGCCUGAGAGGGUGACCGGCCACACUGGGACUGAGACACGGCCCAGACUCCUACGGGAGGCAGCAGUGGGGUAUAUUGCACAAUGGGCGAAAGCCUGAUGCAGCAACGCCGCGUGAGGGACGACGGCCUUCGGGUUGUAAACCUCUUUUAGCAGGGAAGAAGCGAAAGUGACGGUACCUGCAGAAAAAGCGCCGGCUAACUACGUG